UGAUAUCUGCCGCCGGGUAGAAUGAAAUGCACGACGCCUCGUAUCGUUAGGCCUUUGAAGAUACGAUGAGCAGCGUGUGAUUUUU
rnacentral:ncRNA from 1 species